ensembl:lncRNA
UGCACUCAUUUAAGGGCAGCUCUCUGAUAUGGAAAUCUUUUCUGCGUGAGGGCUGCUUCUUGGGGCUGAGUGUUCUGGUGUUACAGUCCUACAUCACCAGUUGGAAAAAAAACUCUCAGAAUUCAUGCAUGUCACUGUACACCUGGAUCAUCAUUCAUCCUGAGGUUCUCAUUGAUUGCAGAAUAUCACAUAGAAAAAGCUCAGAAGUCUCCAGAAAUGCUUGAAGAGGAGCCAGAAGCAGCAAAGAUCAGCAGGUCUGGAUAUGUUUAAGGUUAAACUCUCAAAUGAAGGGACUGUGUCCAUCUCUGUCCUCUUUCCUUCCUACGUGUGAAAUAUAACACGGGCACGCUUCUCUGAGUAAAUGUGCGUCAGUAAGCACAGCAGUCUUUUGUGUUUUGCAUUAUUGAAUCAGGUGAAUCAGAAAUAACUCCAUGAAUAACAAAUGAAUUACUGUUAAUUAAAAAGAUUUUGGCCUGGAAUUUGUGUGGCUAUACAAGUAUUGGAAUGAAGUGAAAUGGAAGUCUUAAACGUAGAUGUAAUAUAUUUGAUAUUCUAACAAUAAGUUGUC